GUGUCAGCAGCCGCGGUAAUACGUAGGCAGCAAGCGUUGUUCGGAAUUACUGGGCGUAAAGGGUGCGUAGGCGGUUGGGCAAGUCUGUUGUGAAAUCUCCCGGCUUAACUGGGAGGGUGCGGCGGAAACUGCCCGGCUAGAGUGUGGGAGAGGGAAGUGGAAUUCCUGGUGUAGCGGUGAAAUGCGUAGAUAUCAGGAGGAACACCUGCGGUGUAGACGGCUUCCUGGACCACUACUGACGCUGAAGCACGAAAGCGUGGGGAGCAAACAGGAUUAGAUACCCUAGUAGUCC
rnacentral:rRNA from 1 species